GGGCUUUCCUCAUAUUCCCACUUCCAAUCUGAGGAAAGCUUCUCUUGCACUUGUACAAAGUAAAAUUAUUUAACGUUGUAGGCCCCCUUACUUAUAUUAUUAUUGUUAUAAUUAUUACUACUAUUAUUUAUUUAUUUCCCUAUCUUUGUACCUGUCGACCUUUGUUUAUUUCCCUAUGUACUAAGCAAAAUCAUUCUCCCAUAUUAUAAGUACCUAUAUCCACUCCUUCCAAACCUCUCACCUCUCUCUCUCUCUCUCUCUCUCUCCUUCUUAACAUUUUUCAGGUGGAAGAGAUGACGGAGACGGCGCCGUCGAGGCGGUUUCGUGGGCAUUGCUUAAGUGGGGAUGAGGAGACACAAGUAUGCAACAUGUUACAUGUGAAGCAAUUGCCUCCAAGGGGUUGAGGUUUUUUUCUUGAAUGAAGAGAGAAAAAAUGCAACUUCUAGGCAAGUCUGAUGCUUGGCUUCAAUUUACAGUUUCUUGGCUUUUUUUUAAACCUAAGUUUGUCUCUGUUUUUUAAAUUUUCUUUUCCAAUGGCUAGUUGGGAUUGGCCAAACAAGGUGGGAGAAUAAAAAUGGGAUUUUGGAAUCUUUUUGACAAUUAUUUUAUGUGUAGUUGGUCCGAAAGAUUCCCAAGAUUGACAUUUUCUCUCUGUUCUUUUCAACAUAAAAAUCCAAUCUUUCUUUUCUUCUUUUUCAUUGACAGAUUAAUUUUUAUUGGAGUUCUUGUGUUUCUGAUUAACUUUGUUGUAGGUUGAAUUCUCCUUGUAAUAAUCCUAGUUUUAGAUUCGUGGAUCAUUUGAUUUGGUAUGGUGUUUUUGCUAAUCAUAUGUGGCGUUAAUUAGUUGAAAUUUUGUGGGUUGAAUGAGUUCAUGAAUAAAACUUUGUUGAGACUUAGUUUUUUUUUUUUUAUUGAAGAAAAUGAACAUAAAGUAGCAAUUAUUUAAGAAAAAAGGAAGCACAAAUGCAACCAACAUUGCACAUGCAAAGCUAAAGGACUUUGGCCCCAGCAAUUAUACACACACACACACACAGCUGAGUACAUAUAUAGACACACACAUAUAUAUACGUAGGGUUUAAGAUAUAUAUAUUACCAUAUCAUAACCCUUUUCUCUUUUGAUUAUUUUAUGCAACAUAUGAGAUUUAUAUAUUAAAAAUUGGUUAUCUUUUUAUUUUUGUAUGUUACAUGUGAUAAUCGCACAAGCUAGCUAGUUCAAAAUGGAGUAUUCAUUAUUCCAUCACUAAUUAAAAAAAAUUAAUUAAGUGAAGGCAAC
rnacentral:lncRNA from 1 species